GGUUAUUAUUUAGAAAAUGAAACAUGCGACCCCAUGUUCAUAGGAACAUUUUUUCUUAAUUUUAAUCCUGGUACACGCUCACGAAGUUUGCAAACAUACUUUUGACUCAUCCUGUAUAUCCACACACACUUAUAGGAUUUCGAGAUAUAAGCAUAACAAACACAUGCAUGUCCGUUGCAGAAGUCAGAGACAGAGGCAGAUCAUAUACGUACAGGUCUGCCUAUCCAAUCUAAACUGUGCAGAGGCUGGAGGAAAAGAGAAUGGUAGAACAGACAUCGGAAAUUGAGACUGGAAAUUGCCUUCAGUAGGUGAAUGUCGUGGGCAUGAGUUUGGGAAUUGGGAGGGAUAUAAGAGGACUGAAUAGAUGUCAAAGAAGAGAAAAGGGCUAAGGAGAAACGAGAAAAGUUUGUUCUUCAAAUCGCAGAGACGUGCAUCAGAUAUAGGAGAAGAAAUGCUGGGCUGAUGUGUUCCCAUGUACAUUUGCUGUUACAAAAACGAAACUUUGCCAGUAUUCUAUAUGAGAGCCUUUUCUUCUUUCAGGGGUAUACCCAAGUUGAAAUUAACUUGACGCUUCCUUGGUAACCUGCUUGAUUCCAGGCUCCACGAAAAUAGAAAAUGAGCUUAACAGAUUUAGAAAAGAAAACUUUAAGGUUAUGAUUCUGUACUCCGAAGUCCCAUGUGACUUCCCUGUGCGACAAUAAAGUAAAUAAAUGACUGGUCAUGAUUGUGACAGGUGAUAUCUUGAUUAGGCUACAGAUAAGUAAGAAGAAAUUUUAUUUUCAUUUGCGAUUUUGCGUCAGAUAUUCAUAAAGAGAUAGCAAAUUUAGUAUUUAUACAUUCCAAUACUUCACCAAUGGUUGGAGUUUGAAAGAGAUUGUAUUGAAAUUUGUCAACACAUUACAACUUUCGCACAACAAUAGCGAAACAUUUACAUGCGUUUCUGUGGAAGAAAAUAUCUUAAUGGCCAAUUUCUGGACUACCUUCGUUGCUAUGGUUACCUGGAGAAUCCCUGCCAGAAGAGUAUCCAAGUACAGAAACCAUGUAUGAUAACGUCAUCAGUUAGCCAGACUCCACCCACUCAAAUGUCAUUGGUCUCACACACGACAGCCAUCCACAAAGAUUAUAGGUCACGAAUUAUACUGUACUUACAUUUCCUAACUUGUUAAAAUCUCACUCACAUCUACGCAUCUUGUUCUAAUAAUUUAUUUCUGGUCCAAAGUUUCUGUAAGCAUGUCAUGAGUCCCUCACGUCUGCUGUAUGUUUACAAAUAUUCUUCUCGAUUUAUUCAUCCUAAAAAUACUUCGGGAAAAUGCUCUCUAAGUUUUAUAUUGCAGUGUUAACACUUUGUAGGACAAAGUUAAUUCGUGUCUUCAUUACAAACACUAAGGUUAUGCUAAUUAAGAAAAUAAUCUCUAAGUAUUCAGAAAAUAAUAGCCCAAGAAGAAAUAUUGUGGGCAAAUACACAGUUAAUGAAAGUUGAAACAGGUGGGACGCAUAGUAUAGUCAAUUAUAAUCUUCCUUAAGAAUUUAACAAAGGUGAUUUUAUUACAAACCAUGAGAGGGAAGCUAAAAUGUUCUACAGAUUUUCUGUAUUUAAAGCACUUCUUAACCUCACCAAACAUUUCGUACUGAAAUCUUUCAGCGUGAGAAGAACUCACGCUCUAACCAUACCAAACAGAGAAAACAAAUUGUAUUAAAUGUAUUGGAGGUUGAUACCCAUGAAACAUAAGUAAUUUUCUUGUAGUUUUCUUUGAAAUCAUUAUAGGCAAGAACUGCAUAAACACAUCACAGUAUUCUUCCGUGAAGUAAACUUUCCUUACACCUAGAGGAAUUUCAUAACGUAUCACUUGUCAGCUCUAAUAUUGUCUACACGCUGAAGUUUUUACGAAGAUUCCAGUUCCCAGGGUGUUCACAACGGACAAUGGUAACGAUAAAGAAUUUAUAGCGUCGGAUCAUCGGUAGGCUUGAAUAACGAAAUGGAUAAGACGUGGGAGAAAAUGGCAGUUUUCUAAUUUAAGGUGUUUACCUGGAGGGACUGAAUAAGGGAACAAAAAUCUUCUGGUUGUAGCUUGUAUUCGGGCCAAGACUUAAACCAGGGACUUUUCCAGUAAGAAGUAGGAGAGCUAAUCCCUUGGCCGCGAAUUUGGAUUUGUCCUAAUCUAAUACGUAAUGCACAUAAACUCGCUCCUUGUUUUUAAUUGCUAACUUGUAAUGCUUAUUUCAAGAUCCGCUAAAAUUAAUCCUUCCAUUUUAAAUUUUAAAAACAUGUGGUAACAUUUAGUCAAAAAAGAAAAUGGUUUAUGAUGUUAGUAGCUUUUUGUGGAUUAUUUUUUAUUUUGUUUAUUAAAGUUACGUAAUUAUUCUUUAUAAUUUGUUUAUCGCUUGAAAAUGUCUCUCUACUGGUUUGUUGCAAUGACUCAUCGCCCUGAUGAUGGAUGCAGCAAGCAAAUCUGAAACGCCAGUAAACUUAAUUCUACCAGAUUACGUGAUGCAAUAGCCCAGAAGAAAGUUUCUUCUUAUUCGCCGCCGUGGGAACCUAAAAUGUCUUAUCGAUUGUUGUUAUUUUGGUUUUUUUUUCUAUUCUGUAUCUGCAAUUGGCCAUUUGACUGUUGAUGCAGCGCACUAAAAUAAAUAAAUGGAUUGUUAUUCUCCAGACUACGUUCGUCCAUAUCGUGGCCCCGUCAAUUUGCAGUGAACGCACGGUCAUAACGACAACUUUUGCCAAACUGAACAGUCAAGGUUCAUUAGAUUCUCGCAUUCACGGUGCUUUGUCGUGUGCCGAUAUAUCAGCGUGCCUUUCUUCGGCUGCCAGCUGCGAAAGCAAAAUGUGAGGCUGAUCGGCGACACUUGGACAGUGGCAGAGACGAGUGGCUGGGUGGAAGACGUGAAUCGGUCGGUAUUUGCCAUUGGACACUUGGUAUCCCGGUCAUUCAUCUCAGAGUUGUGAAGGCCGAUCUUCGGCAGUCGAAAAGUUUCCCCGGGAACUCCAGGACCAGGUUGGCGUCUCCAGCCCAGGAUGAGAAGUAGGAAGGGGAGAGAAGGUCUACUUAGAUCCGGGUGCCUGCUUCUGGAAUGGGCUCAUUAACUCCGACUGCUACUGCGCCUCACGUUUCUGGUUCCGGAGAAUUACAAAACGUACAGUCUGUAGGACAGCAAAGCUUCUGUGAAAUAUCCGGCAGUGUAUCAGCUUCGUUGGUGUCUCCAGGUCAUGGAUUAGCAUGCAAAAGAAGAGAAGAGGCUAACGGAAUGGUGACGCCACACACGAGGAAAGUUGAAAUGUUUUUUUUUUUUGUACGGAGUGAGGUUGGCAGAUCGCUUAUACUGCGAAGAGGCUUUCCCUUAUCUUUGAUACUGAAACCCUCUUACAUCCUUCAUCAACCCAAACACAGCUUAUACUUUACUAACUUCUUUUUCCUCCCCAUUCCACUACAUCAUUAUCAUCGUCUUCCUUGAUGGAACACAGAAUCCAUCUCUACGUGAAACUCCGAGGCUGAUAAAAGUAGGGACUUCAGAUGUUCUUUUCUUUGUCACAAUUUCAAUACUCACUCUAUUGCUGUAGCUCUAUGUCAUGUAUCGUAUGCGCUACCAGUAUUUUGCUGUGGUUCAUUUUUCAUCAAUUUCUAAUCCCUUUCCUCCAU